CAGUAACUGUGCAAUGGAAAAUAUCAUCUCUAUACAAAAUUCAUAUGUCAUGCACAUUUACUGGGUUCCACAUUAUGGAUUGUAUUAAAAGGUGAUGUCCCUAGAGACAAUAGAGGAUAAAAUAAGAAAAAAUCAGGUACAUGCAAAUUUUGACUACCAAAAAGGCAAACCAAAUUAUAUAUGUUUAAGAAGCAGUUAUAGAAAUUUUUAUUCACAUUGUGGCUCCCCAACAUACAAGGCUUCAGGACGUCAAAGUAGCUCAAGCUCAAACCUUCCGCUGCUACAAGAGUAUCUAUAACAUUAAUCCUUCAAUCUUUUGUUGGUACAGGAUAAAAUCAAUCGUACUCAUUGAAGCACAGGAAUUGUUCCACCAGCUGCGACAAUCUGUUGCUCCAGUCUGAAUAAAGUUUGAAGUUUGAUCUUCAAUUGAGCAUACUCAUGAUUCACUAGCUGAAGGCAUCUCAAACACCCUUCACGGUCUUGGGACUCGCAAUAAGUUCUGAAGGCAAUGCAUGCAUUUUUAAUUCUUGCUGCACCCACGCUGGAACUACUACCCUUCAAUUGGUGAACAUGAGAAUCCACCUGCUUAAAAUCCACAGCCUGCAGUUCCAGAGCUCUGGCCAUAUUGUUAACAAGCUUUUCACAAUCUACAAAGAAGAGAGAAGCAACCUCCAUCACAAAAUCAGGACUACUCUCGUCUUGCAGCUUCUGCAGCUGAGUAAACUGAUCGUCCACAUAUCCCUCUCGGUAUAGGGAAGCUGUGAAAUCAACAAUCUGUCUCUGCAACUGAACUAUGACGUCCAUGGGCGUGUGAAAUCAACGAGGAAGAUACGAAGUUGGAAGAAGACCUUACUGAUUAUAACAGACCAAUUGAAAGGGGUGGCGAGGAAGAAAGGGGCGUUG
rnacentral:misc_RNA from 1 species